rnacentral:rRNA from 1 species
UGAGGAAUAUUGGUCAAUGGGCGCAAGCCUGAACCAGCCAUCCCGCGUGCAGGAAGACGGCCCUUUGGGUUGUAAACUGCUUUUCCAGGGGGAGAAACUUGCGCACGUGUUGCGCAAUUGACGGUACCCUGGGAAUAAGCACCGGCUAACUCCGUGCCAGCAGCCGCGGUAAUACGGAGGAUGCGAGCGUUAUCCGGAUUCAUUGGGUUUAAAGGGUGCGUAGGCGGACUAUUAAGUCAGUGGUGAAAUCCUGCAGCUUAACUGCAGAACUGCCAUUGAUACUGAUAGCCUUGAGUUUGGUUAAGGUAGGCGGAAUGUGUAGUGUAGCGGUGAAAUGCUUAGAUAUUACACAGAACACCAAUUGCGGAGGCAGCUUACUGAGCCGACACUGACGCUGAGGCACGAAAGCGUGGGGAUCGAACAG